AUGCACGGUGGCGGUAUCGAUUCAGGCUGGGACGGCGUAUGGUUGUUGUCAGUUAGGGUGACGCUCAGUCGAGAACGGUGGAAGAUUGUGCGAAGGGAUCCUAGAUGUGGCGAUGCCCUGCGGCUGAGGCAGCUCGGAUCGGAGAUGGUGCUCGCGGUGGGUUUUGUACGCUGGAGGGAGGACGUUACCGUCAAGGUAGCUGUAGCAUACGGUUGCGGAUUUGAGGCGGAGGAUGUCAUGUGGUUGAGGGGUUGCAUAGAGGAAGAAGGAUGGACGGUGUUGGCUCCGUAG